rnacentral:rRNA from 1 species
AGACGUGCGCAGGCGGUAAUGUAAGACAGAUGUGAAAUCCCCGGGCCUCAACCUGGGAACUGCAUUUGUGACUGCAUUGCUGGAGUGCGGCAGAGGGGGAUGGAAUUCCGCGUGUAGCAGUGAAAUGCGUAGAUAUGCGGAGGAACACCGAUGGCGAAGGCAAUCCCCUGGGCCUGCACUGACGCUCAUGCACGAAAGCGUGGGGAGCAAACAGGAUUAGAUACCCGUGU